rnacentral:lncRNA from 1 species
GUCAUGGAAUAAGUGCAGGAAGCAUGAGAAAUAUAUUAUAGUGUAUUUUCAAAGAUGUUUACAUUUAUACUGUAUAACUUUCUUUUUAUACAUUUAUGGUAUAUUUUAGAAUGCAGUGACCUAUGACAAUGUGCAUGUUGACUUCACUCAGGAAGAGUGGGCUUUGCUGGAUCCUUCCCAGAAGAAUCUCCAUAAAGAUGUGAUAGUGAAGACUACAGGAUCCUUACUGCUAUAGGACUGUAGUCUCCAAACACAUAAAAGAACACAUACAGGAGAGAAAGAAACCCUAUGAAUGUAGUCGAUGUGGUAAAGCCUUUCAUGUCACAGUAUGUUUUCAACUAAUAAAAGAACACAUGGGAGAGAAACUCUAUGAAAGUAUUGUGGUGUCAAGCCUUUCACGUCACAUAAUCUAAUGCAUAAAAGAACAUAUAUUGGAGAGAACCUCUAUGAAAGUGAUGUGUUAAAGCCUUUGCACAUCAUUGUAGUCUUUGAAAUUCUGAGAAAAAAAAUCAUACUGCAGAGCAAAUAUUAAUGUAGUCAGUAUGGAUGAACCAGAGAGUGGAAACUGGAAAUGCUGUGCUGAUGUAAAUUAUGAAAUCCCAGUGACAUAUUUCCUCCAGCAGGGCAUCAUUUCCUAAUUCAUCCCAAAUGAUACCACCAACUAAGAAGUAUUGAUUUCUCUGACUUCUCUGACUUCAUGCUUGUUUUCUGUUAUAUGAAGCAGUCCAUGAUACUGAAAAACUGUAGUUUUUAUCCAUUUGGCACUCAUCUUGAAGUAUUUCCUCCUAAAGGAAUUAUCUACAGAUGCCAGGUAAUGUAAAGACAGAUUUAUUUUUUAAAAACAUGUCUGGUGUGUGUGUGUGUGUGUGUGUGUGUGUGUGUGUGUGUGUGUGUGUGUGUGAUGGGUUACAAUGGGUAACAGAUAUGUUUGUGGGUUUUCUUUUAGCCCUGUUCACAUGUGAUCAAGGUCAGGUUUCCAGUCUUGCACACAACAUCACAUCGGUAUAAUAUUGUUCUGUGUUCAAAUUGUAAUUAUAUUGUCAUUUAAGAAAAGAUCAACACAGGAUGUAUUUAUGCUGCCAUCUUUCUGCAUUUUUGUUAGUUUAUUCUGGGGGAGUAAACACUUGUGUACCAGCACCGAUGUCCCCAGGAGCCAGGGAGAUGAAAUGCCAACUCAAGGGAUGAUUCGAUGAGCCACCACAUCUGCUGUUCCCAUUGUAGAAAACUUGUCAAGGCAGUGAAGGAACCUCUCACAUUUGAUUGUAACUGCAAGACCAAACAAGGAAAAUGGGUGCAUGACAAGGACAGGGCCCUGAAACCAUUACUACAGCGACUCCAUCAAAGACCUCAGCAAUGAAGAAAAGUGACUAGAAAAGGUAAGGUAACGAAAAAGGGUUGGGAG